ACUCUAUAGAAGAACAGAAACAAACAGCCCUGUAAUCAGAACGUUACAGAAAAUCUCUCAAGAACUGUGAUUUUUCAGCUUUUUUUAUUGAUGUGGAGAACUCAAGACAACUUCCAAGGGAAAUGCAGACCUAAGUGUACCACUCUGCUUCACAUGUUUUGCAGUGGAACCAGCUGUGCCCUCCUUUCACUAAGCCCUUGGCUCUUGGCAUUCACUGGAAACAUUUUCCAGCUGUAAGAUGAAAGGAUGGUGUUAGCUCCUUCAAAACAAGAAAGGAAGGAAAAACAAGAUCUCAAAAGAGUGACAGACAGCCUGCAGCUUUAAAUAUCAACUCUGGAGAGCAGCUACUUCAGCAGAACAGAUGCCUUUCUCCUGUGAAAUUUCUCUGCACAGGAGAUGCUUGGGUUCAUGUAUGCUUAACUGUUCCAUCCUUCAGCACUUCCUUUCCCCAGAGUGAGGGAAAGUUGAGGAGGGCUCCACUUCCAGCAAGGAUGCAAAUGCUGUUUUGAAUUACAAAGAGAAAAGUGAAGGACUCUCCCUGGGCAGUUUGACAUGUGUUAUAAAUGCCUUUAUUGUAGGUAAGUGUCUUGUGUCUUCCUCCAGUGAAUAAGUAAAUGAGAAGGUUC